rnacentral:rRNA from 1 species
AUACGUAGGGGGCGAGCGUUGUCCGGAAUGACUGGGCGUAAAGGGCGUGUAGGCGGCGGUGUAAGUCUGGAGUGAAAGUCCCGCAUUCAAUGUGGGAAUUGCUUUGGAUACUGCAGUGCUAGAGUGCGGAAGAGGUAAGUGGAAUUCCCAGUAUAGCGGUGAAAUGCGUAGAGAUUGGGAGGAACACCAGUGGCGAAGGCGACUGACUGGGCCGUAACUGACGCUGAGGCGCGAAAGCGUGGGGAGCGAACAGGAUUAGAUACCCUGGUAGUCCACACUGUAAACGAUGAAUGCUAGGUGUAAGAGGUAUCGACCCCUUUUGUGCCGGAGUCAACACAAUAAGCAUUCCGCCUGGGGAGUACGGCCGCAAGGUUGAAACUCAAAGGAAUUGGCGGGG